rnacentral:piRNA from 1 species
UAAGAAUGUUACUCAUUCAGAGGAAAUGCCC